UACGGAGGAUGCAAGCGUUAUCCGGAUUUAUUGGGUUUAAAGGGUGCGCAGGUUGUUUGAUAAGUCAGUGGUGAAAGUCUGUCGCUUAACGGUAGGAUUGCCAUUGAUACUGUUAGACCUGAAUAUGGAUGAGGUAAGCGGAAUGUGUAGUGUAGCGGCGAAAUGCAUAGAUAUUACACAGAACACCGAUUGCGAAGGCAGCUUACUAAUCCAUCAUUGACGCUGAGGCACGAAAGCGUGGGGAUCAAACAGGA
rnacentral:rRNA from 1 species